rnacentral:misc_RNA from 2 species
CCCAACUAUCCCUAUUAAUCAUUACGGUGAUCCUAGAAACCAACAAAAUAGAACCAUGCCGUCCUAUUCUAUUAUUCCAUGCUAAUGUAUUCGAGCAAUAAGCCUGCUUUAAACACUCUAAUUUUUUCAAGGUAAAAGUUCUGGUUCCAUAUGACACCCAAUUAAGGACAUCAUAUUUCUCCAGAAGGUGAGAAAUUGACUGCAACAGUUCAUACCCCGUAAGGCACGACCAUCACGUCAAUCCCGAAAUUCAACUACGAGCUUUUUAACUGCAACAACUUUAAUAUACGCUAUUGGAGCUGGAAUUACCGCGGCUGCUGGCACCAGACUUGCCCUCCAA